UCAUUCUGACCUCAGUUUAGAUGAGACUACCCGCUGAACUUAAGCAUAUCAGUAAGCGGAGGAAAAGAAACUAACAAGGAUUCCCUUAGUAGCGGCGAGCGAACAGGGAUGAGCCCAGCACCGAACCUCGCGCCCGGUUGAGCGGGUGCCGAGGAAUGUGGUGUUCGGGAGGAUCGUGCGCGCCUGUCCGGUAUAUAUCGUCCAAGUCUUCAUGAACGAGGCGAGCAAACCACAGAGGGUGUCAGUCCCGUAGCUUAGACGAGCCGAGACCGUGCAUCGGAUCCCUUCCCAAGA
rnacentral:rRNA from 2 species